CAGUCGCCGCGGGAAUACGAAGGGGGCUAGCGUUGCCCGGAAUCACUGGGCGUAAAGCGCACGUAGGCGGAUCGUUAAGUCAGGGGUGAAAGCCUGGAGCUCAACUCCAGAACUGCCUUUGAUACUGGCGAUCUCGAGUCCGGAAGAGGUGAGUGGAACUGCGAGUGUAGAGGUGAAAUUCGUAGAUAUUCGCAAGAACACCAGUGGCGAAGGCGGCUCACUGGUCCGGUACUGACGCUGAGGUGCGAAAGCGUGGGGAGCAAACAGGAUUAGAUACCCCGGUAGUCCCUGUCUCUUAUAC
rnacentral:rRNA from 1 species